rnacentral:tRNA from 1 species
GGGUCCUUAGCUCAGCCUGGUAGAGCAUCCGGCUCUUAACCGGAGGGUCGUGGGUUCAACUCCCACAGGGCCCG